UACGUAGGUGGCUAGCGUUGUUCGGAAUUACUGGGCGUAAAGCGCACGUAGGCGGCUUUGUAAGUUAGAGGUGAAAGCCCGGGGCUCAACUCCGGAAUUGCCUUUAAGACUGCAUCGCUAGAAUUGUGGAGAGGUAAGUGGAAUUCCGAGUGUAGAGGUGAAAUUCGUAGAUAUUCGGAAGAACACCAGUGGCGAAGGCGACUUACUGGACACAUAUUGACGCUGAGGUGCGAAAGCGUGGGGAGCAAACAGG
rnacentral:rRNA from 1 species